AGGAACUUAAGAUGAUCGGUGCUUUCGAAGGUGCCCCCCAUAGUGCUUCUGCUUAAUCUUUACUAUAAUCUGCUUUCUAAUCCAGUUUACAGGAAAGAAAUGUGCUGUGUCCCAAUGUGACUACUUAUACUACACCCUUAAAUUCUGAUGGACUCUAUGCACGCGUGGUCUGAGAUCACAUGUCGAUGUUUACACAAAGGCGGGGGUUAAAUAGAGGACGAGGCUAGUGACCAUGGAUGAAGAGAGUAUUGGCUGCUAAGGCGGUUGGAAACAACUGGACUUGGGAUGGACAGGAGUAUGCAGAGGGAAGUGACAAAAAUACAGUUGACAAAAAUGCUAAAUAAGGAAAUUGGUGAAAUAAAGAGUGCUAAAAUUCUUAGAAAUGGAUCAUUGUUGAUUAUUUGCAAGGAUGCAAAACAUCAAGGGAAAGUAAUGAGAAUGAACAAGAUCAAUGGAAAGAGAGUGGAAUGUUCUACGGCUUAUGGCAAGAAAUUCAUAAAAGGGGUUUUCACAGGAAUCCCAGA